rnacentral:sRNA from 1 species
AGCAGCUCCGCGCGCGUUCACGGGCCGUUCCCCCUCAGGGGAGUCCUCCGCCCGGGCGUCCGGAACAGUCGACGGCAGACUCCGGCCCGCUGAGCCACCCGAGGGCUCCCGUGGCCUCCGCGGACCCGGAAUCUGGGCCCUCGCGGACCCGCGCCCCGCCCAGUCGCCCCAGGGUUUCCCCACACCCACGGAGUGAACUCAGCCGCGGCCCUGCCUGGGACAACUUACAGUCUACCGGGAAAGGUGGCCAGCAGAUGUGUCGGGCCUGGUGAGAGGGUGAGGCGAGACGGCCCGAUCGCCCAGGGCCCCGGAAGCUGCGGAGGUCACCCCCGCCUGGCCUUAGCUCAGGGACACCCUGGAUUCACGUGGGAGCCCCUGCUCCUGCCUCCCCCAUCCCACCACUGAGGCUGUUGGGCCAGGCGAGUCAUGCUAGAACGUAAGUCGUAGGGACGGUGGGAGAACUGGGUUAAGAUGCACAGGCCCAGGUCCCCGAGUGUGCCAGGGUUGGGCCUGGAGGCUGUGCUUGUGACUAGUGACCUCGAAGAUCCCAACACCCUGGCUCCUGGCUUGGAGAAACCCUGGGCUGGGACUCUGAGGUAAUUAGAG